AAGGGCACCACAAGAACGCGUGGAGCAUGUGGCUUAAUUUGACUCAACGCGGGGAAUCUUACCGGGUCCGGACACACUGAGGAUUGACAGGCAAUAUUAAAUAAAGUAAUUCUUCGGACUGUCUGAUAUUUAUGUUAAAUAUGCUAGUCCUUUCAUGAUUAUGUGAUAGGUGGUGCAUGGCCGUUCUUAGUUCGUGGAGUGAUCUGUCUGCUUAAUUGCGUUUCACUAAGGGCUUAUCUAAUUAUAACGUGUGUUGCUAGAGUUUUAUACCUUUGUGACCCCUUUAAUUAGUGUGUGUCUAUAAUGGUAGCUUUGGCUCACACAAUUAAGUCCUGAAAGCAACGAACGUGACCGCAACCUCUUGUUGCCUUUCAUUUAUUUAUGCGUCUUGCGCGUAUUUUUGACAAAAAAGGCUUUUUAAACUAGAGGGACCGCUGUAAUCUUUUUAAACCAGAGGAAGGUUGCGGCAAUAACAGGUCUGUGAUGCCCUUAGAUGUUCCGGGCUGCACACGUGCUACAAUGAUUAUUGCAGUGAGCAUCUCAUUUAAUAACACAUCGCUUGCGCGAGUCCAAUUUUUGAACAUCACUCUUUUGUGUUGCUUCCAUUAAUUGUGUACUUUGCGCGCGAUAAAGCCUGCUUCGAAAGUAAGUGGGUAAUCAAUUAGAAGUAAUGAUUUCCUAUAUAUAGCACACAUAUAUGCGGCAUUUUUACCCGAAUUAAGCUUGUCUUAGUUUCUGUGUGUAUUAAUGUACUUUUUCCGCAUGUGCAAUUGUCAAUUCAUGGUGGGGACAGACCAUUGUUAAUUGUUGGUCUCGGUCUUAACUAGGAAUGCCUUGUACGGGUCUUUGGUUCAACAAACCACCCGGAAUACGUCCCUGCCCUUU
rnacentral:rRNA from 1 species